CGGUUGGGCCGGUGCAGUGCACCGGUCGGACAACGGGUCAGGGUCGGAAGGCAGCAGCCCAUCCGGCUCGGUCCACGUGCAUCGUAAACCUGGCCUAA
rnacentral:SRP_RNA from 1 species